UAAGCGACUAAGCGUACACGGUGGAUGCCCUGGCAGUCAGAGGCGAUGAAGGACGUGCUAAUCUGCGAUAAGCGUCGGUAAGGUGAUAUGAACCGUUAUAACCGGCGAUUUCCGAAUGGGGAAACCCAGUGUGAUUCGUCACACUAUCAUUAACUGAAUCCAUAGGUUAAUGAGGCGAACCGGGGGAACUGAAACAUCUAAGUACCCCGAGGAAAAGAAAUCAACCGAGAUUCCCCCAGUAGCGGCGAGCGAACGGGGAGCAGCCCAGAGCCUGAAUCAGUGUGUGUGUUAGUGGAAGCGUCUGGAAAGGCGCGCGAUACAGGGUGACAGCCCCGUACACAAAAAUGCACAUACUGUGAGCUCGAUGAGUAGGGCGGGACACGUGGUAUCCUGUCUGAAUAUGGGGGGACCAUCCUCCAAGGCUAAAUACUCCUGACUGACCGAUAGUGAACCAGUACCGUGAGGGAAAGGCGAAAAGAACCCCGGCGAGGGGAGUGAAAAAGAACCUGAAACCGUGUACGUACAAGCAGUGGGAGCCAUGGUGACUGCGUACCUUUUGUAUAAUGGGUCAGCGACUUAUAUUCUGUAGCAAGGUUAACCGAAUAGGGGAGCCGAAGGGAAACCGAGUCUUAACCGGGCGUUAAGUUGCAGGGUAUAGACCCGAAACCCGGUGAUCUAGCCAUGGGCAGGUUGAAGGUUGGGUAACACUAACUGGAGGACCGAACCGACUAAUGUUGAAAAAUUAGCGGAUGACUUGUGGCUGGGGGUGAAAGGCCAAUCAAACCGGGAGAUAGCUGGUUCUCCCCGAAAGCUAUUUAGGUAGCGCCUCGUGAAUUCAUCUCCGGGGGUAGAGCACUGUUUCGGCAAGGGGGUCAUCCCGACUUACCAACCCGAUGCAAACUGCGAAUACCGGAGAAUGUUAUCACGGGAGACACACGGCGGGUGCUAACGUCCGUCGUGAAGAGGGAAACAACCCAGACCGCCAGCUAAGGUCCCAAAGUCAUGGUUAAGUGGGAAACGAUGUGGGAAGGCCCAGACAGCCAGGAUGUUGGCUUAGAAGCAGCCAUCAUUUAAAGAAAGCGUAAUAGCUCACUGGUCGAGUCGGCCUGCGCGGAAGAUGUAACGGGGCUAAACCAUGCACCGAAGCUGCGGCAGCGACACUGUGUGUUGUUGGGUAGGGGAGCGUUCUGUAAGCCUGUGAAGGUGUACUGUGAGGUAUGCUGGAGGUAUCAGAAGUGCGAAUGCUGACAUAAGUAACGAUAAAGCGGGUGAAAAGCCCGCUCGCCGGAAGACCAAGGGUUCCUGUCCAACGUUAAUCGGGGCAGGGUGAGUCGACCCCUAAGGCGAGGCCGAAAGGCGUAGUCGAUGGGAAACAGGUUAAUAUUCCUGUACUUGGUGUUACUGCGAAGGGGGGACGAGAAGGCUAUGUUGGCCGGGCGACGGUUGUCCCGGUUUAAGCGUGUAGGCUGGUUUUCCAGGCAAAUCCGGAAAAUCAAGGCUGAGGCGUGAUGACGAGGCACUACGGUGCUGAAGCAACAAAUGCCCUGCUUCCAGGAAAAGCCUCUAAGCAUCAGGUAACAUCAAAUCGUACCCCAAACCGACACAGGUGGUCAGGUAGAGAAUACCAAGGCGCUUGAGAGAACUCGGGUGAAGGAACUAGGCAAAAUGGUGCCGUAACUUCGGGAGAAGGCACGCUGAUAUGUAGGUGAAGUCCCUCGCGGAUGGAGCUGAAAUCAGUCGAAGAUACCAGCUGGCUGCAACUGUUUAUUAAAAACACAGCACUGUGCAAACACGAAAGUGGACGUAUACGGUGUGACGCCUGCCCGGUGCCGGAAGGUUAAUUGAUGGGGUCAGCGCAAGCGAAGCUCUUGAUCGAAGCCCCGGUAAACGGCGGCCGUAACUAUAACGGUCCUAAGGUAGCGAAAUUCCUUGUCGGGUAAGUUCCGACCUGCACGAAUGGCGUAAUGAUGGCCAGGCUGUCUCCACCCGAGACUCAGUGAAAUUGAACUCGCUGUGAAGAUGCAGUGUACCCGCGGCAAGACGGAAAGACCCCGUGAACCUUUACUAUAGCUUGACACUGAACAUUGAGCCUUGAUGUGUAGGAUAGGUGGGAGGCUUUGAAGUGUGGACGCCAGUCUGCAUGGAGCCGACCUUGAAAUACCACCCUUUAAUGUUUGAUGUUCUAACGUGGACCCGUGAUCCGGGUUGCGGACAGUGUCUGGUGGGUAGUUUGACUGGGGCGGUCUCCUCCUAAAGAGUAACGGAGGAGCACGAAGGUUGGCUAAUCCUGGUCGGACAUCAGGAGGUUAGUGCAAUGGCAUAAGCCAGCUUGACUGCGAGCGUGACGGCGCGAGCAGGUGCGAAAGCAGGUCAUAGUGAUCCGGUGGUUCUGAAUGGAAGGGCCAUCGCUCAACGGAUAAAAGGUACUCCGGGGAUAACAGGCUGAUACCGCCCAAGAGUUCAUAUCGACGGCGGUGUUUGGCACCUCGAUGUCGGCUCAUCACAUCCUGGGGCUGAAGUAGGUCCCAAGGGUAUGGCUGUUCGCCAUUUAAAGUGGUACGCGAGCUGGGUUUAGAACGUCGUGAGACAGUUCGGUCCCUAUCUGCCGUGGGCGCUGGAGAACUGAGGGGGGCUGCUCCUAGUACGAGAGGACCGGAGUGGACGCAUCACUGGUGUUCGGGUUGUCAUGCCAAUGGCACUGCCCGGUAGCUAAAUGCGGAAGAGAUAAGUGCUGAAAGCAUCUAAGCACGAAACUUGCCCCGAGAUGAGUUCUCCCUGACCCUUUAAGGGUCCUGAAGGAACGUUGAAGACGACGACGUUGAUAGGCCGGGUGUGUAAGCGCAGCGAUGCGUUGAGCUAACCGGUACUAAUGAACCGUGAGGCUUAACC
rnacentral:rRNA from 1 species